CCCAGACGGAAUGUAAGCUCUGUUGGGUAUGAAUUUUAUCUGGCUGGUUCAUGGAGUGGUGCCUGGAACAUUGCGGUUGGAUGAACGAAGAGGAAUUUUCCAAGAGAACAUGGGGAUCUAAAGUUCGUGUCCUAGACUUUGAAACCUCCCAUUCCGAGAGCCAGCUUCAAUGGCCCUGUCGCCCAUAUGUCUCAGGGGAAGAAUGGAUUGGUCAAAACUGGAUAAGGGAAUCACAGGCUUCGCUUUUUGAAGAUGAAUACUUUGAGAGGAAAGAGAAGUCCCGCUAGGAGAACAACUUUAAGAGCAUAAUGCUGAUUCUCUCUGUAUAGAGGUUUCUCUGGUCAUUAUUGGAAGGAGAAGGAUUCGUCAGUUCUUGUGUAAUUGAUGAUGAGCCAAUACUUGGUGAGCAAAAGAUGACUGGAUUUUUUCCAGCCUUAACUGAGGCUAGCUGAGAGCGAGGUCUGUAGGACUGAGUGUGGGUGAAGUUGGUGCUGCCAGAAUCAAAAGGAGGGAAUUCCAAGCGACAGGACGAUUAGGAUCCUGGAGUGAGAACCCUGGUGGAUGCAGAGGCCAAACUGGAGAAUAAGAUUUCAGAGGCAGAGGGGUUCAGGGGAGGUUAAGGUCCUGAUGUGGGAGAAGGUGGCUGCCGCUCACCGGGGUGAGGGGUUAAGGCAGAGGGUGUCCAGGAGCCAAAGAAGCUACCCGUGACGGCUCCUCCCUGACGGUAACAGAGCUCGGCAGUGGCGACAGGAGCACCGGUCCUGGGAUGCUGGAGGGGACCAGGAUGGAGGAGGGUCAGGCCUCGGCCAUGGCCAGAGAAUGACUUCCAUGGAGGGGGCCAAGGAAAGGCCCCUUUAAACAGAGUGGGGCUGGCAUGGGAGCAGGGUCGUGGCAGAGCUCUGUAGGGGAGCCAUCGAGGGUCUAGGAGAGAACAGGUGAGCUGAGGAACCAACAACUCAGGCUGUGCCAACAGCUUCCAGGGUGAGGGCAGGAGGGAAGGAGGUCAGCCCUGAGAGGCUUAAGCAUUGUACAAAUUACGCAGGUGACCCAAGGGGCAGGGUGUCCGAGGAAGGUCCCUGCCUGCCCUGCCCCGAGGCAGAGACACAGGCAAGCCUAGAGCCCGCCUUGUAUGGCAUUGACAUCUCCUUCUAGGCCUCUCUCAGGAAACGGC
rnacentral:lncRNA from 1 species